UACGAAGGGGGCUAGCGUUGCUCGGAAUUACUGGGCGUAAAGGGAGCGUAGGCGGUUCGGCAAGUCAUGUGUGAAAUCUCCACGCUCAACGUGGAGGGGCCACCUGAUACUGCCGUGACUCGAGUCCGGUAGGGGAGUGUGGAAUUCCCGGUGUAGCGGUGAAAUGCGCAGAUAUCGGGAGGAACACCAGUAGCGAAGGCGGCACUCUGGGCCGUGACUGACGCUGAGGAGCGAAAGCGUGGGGAGCGAACAGG
rnacentral:rRNA from 1 species